AGUGAACGCUGGCGGUAGGCCUAACACAUGCAAGUCGAACGGCAGCACAGUAAGAGCUUGCUCUUACGGGUGGCGAGUGGCGGACGGGUGAGGAAUACAUCGGAAUCUACUUUUUCGUGGGGGAUAACGUAGGGAAACUUACGCUAAUACCGCAUACGACCUACGGGUGAAAGCAGGGGAGCUUCGGACCUUGCGCGAUUGAAUGAGCCGAUGUCGGAUUAGCUAGUUGGCUGGGUAAAGGCCCACCAAGGCAACGAACCGUAGCUGGUCUGAGAGGAUGAUCGGCCACACUGGAACUGAGACACGGUCCAGACUCCUACGGGAGGCAGCAGUGGGGAAUAUUGGACAAUGGGCGCAAGCCUGAUCCAGCCAUACCGCGUGGGUGAAGAAGGCCUUCGGGUUGUAAAGCCCUUUUGUUGGGAAAGAAAAGCAGCAGGUUAAUACCCCGCUGUUCUGACGGUACCCAAAGAAUAAGCACCGGCUAACUUCGUG
rnacentral:rRNA from 1 species